AUUGAACGCUGGCGGCAGGCCUAACACAUGCAAGUCGAACGGUAGCACAGAGAGCUUGCUCUCGGGUGACGAGUGGCGGACGGGUGAGUAAUGUCUGGGAAACUGCCCGAUGGAGGGGGAUAACUACUGGAAACGGUAGCUAAUACCGCAUAACGUCGCAAGACCAAAGUGGGGGACCUUCGGGCCUCACACCAUCGGAUGUGCCCAGAUGGGAUUAGCUAGUAGGUGGGGUAAUGGCUCACCUAGGCGACGAUCCCUAGCUGGUCUGAGAGGAUGACCAGCCACACUGGAACUGAGACACGGUCCAGACUCCUACGGGAGGCAGCAGGGGGGAAUAUUGCACAAUGGGCGCAAGCCUGAUGCAGCCAUGCCGCGUGUAUGAAGAAGGCCUUCGGGUUGUAAAGUACUUUCAGCGGGGAGGAAGGCGGUGAAGUUAAUAGCUUCACCGAUUGACGUUACCCGCAGAAGAAGCACCGGCUAACUCCGUGCCAGCCGCCGCCGUAA
rnacentral:rRNA from 1 species